AGUGUGAAGGGAAGGCUAAGGACGCAUCGGUGCUGGAGAGUUGAGAAUAUGCCUUCCCCUCCACCCCCAACCCAGUCACCUUAUUUGAAAAAAAAUUAAAAAACACCUUUUAUUUAAAAACCUAACCCUGGAAGUUUGCUCGGGAAGGCAUUCUCUUCCUCUUCCUCCAGCUGCCUGAAAAUCAUAUGCGUGGUUUUUCCUGUUUCCUGCUCUGUAGCUGACAUCAGGGGAGCAACGUGAACACAGGAAAAUGGAAAUCAACAUUUGAAACUUUUAAAUGGAAGCUUUAUUGGGGUUCCACAUAUGGAAAACUGCAAAUAGCAGAAGUAUGUGACUCAAUAAAUUAUUCUGGAGUGACCACAUCCUCUAACUGCCUCCCAGGACAAGACGGAGAAUGUGAACAAUGCUCCUGAAGGCCCCUUUCCCUCAAAGAAUCACUGCAAUUGAAGGAAAAAUGCUCCAUGUCCCCUCUGCCAGUUGGUGUUUAUCAAAGGACAACGGAGGAAGAGAGACAAAGUGCCUGGAUGUGUGUGUUAAUCAAGAGUUGUCAGGACCCUGCCUCUAAAAGAAAGCGCUAAAAUGAUGCUUUUGACAAGACUUUUCUCAAAGUGGAUGCAGUCUAAGGGUUGGAAAACAAGGCCCAAUCAGGCUAGGUCUGACUUGUCGCCUGCUUUUGUAAAUAAAGUUUUAUUGGCUCAC
rnacentral:lncRNA from 1 species